AGACUUUCUCAGUGUCGAAACCAAGGCAGACAGAUUUUUCCUCGGACCUCGCUUUGGAAAACGGCAACAGGAUUCUUUCACCAUAGGUGGCGCCGUCGGCGGGCAGCGGCUGCCGGAUGUGCUCAGCGACGGCUUCUCCUUCACCUGCGUCGCCGUCGAGCCGGACAACAUCUACCGGUGUCGCCCCGCGCAGCGGCUGGGGAGCAGUGGCAUGUGAUGGCGGCACCGCCUCCGGCACCCGGCCCCAGCGGUCACCGUCGACUGAAGACCAGCUGGGCCCGCAGAGGCCGCGUCCGCUGUGUGGGGCGCUGGCCAGCCGGGCCGCACCCGCUGAAGCCACACCUGCAUACUGUCACGUCUGAAGGCGCCCGGCUGACGGCCAAGGCCCGUUCCGGCUACUGACCACAGCCACCCCUCCGUCCCCACCCCCGCCCGAGCCGAGCCGACCUUGUCGGACUGUCAGAGGAGUCGGCUCUGCUCUGACAGAGGUCUGUUUUGCCGGGCCGCCUGCCGGGUGCGGAGCGGUGCCUAGCCUUCCGGACGCGUCCCUCACCGGCGGCUGGAGCGAUCUCCUGUGUGAGGAAGCAAGGGCGCGUUUGAAAUCCUAUGAAUCUGGGGGCUGGAAACGUCGAUUUGAUUUCAGUCGGGAAAAAUUGUACGAUGACGCCUUGUUUUGGCGUUGUUCCUUUCUGUCGGGUUUAAAGGGGAUAUUGUCUGUUGGUUGAGUUAGCGACGUAGUGCGUUACAUUGUUCA